GGGAGUGGAUGGGGCCUGGUGGCCCUCCUGGUCUUCAAAACCAGUCGUGGGGCGGUAGUCCCGUCCCGGGUGAGUUCGAUUCUCACACACUCCCGCCA
rnacentral:tRNA from 2 species